rnacentral:lncRNA from 1 species
GGAAGACAUUCCUUUCUCUUCCUCAGAAACAAGACUCUGUGGCAGCACUGUUUAAGGCUCAUCUCUCCUAGGUUGAGUUACAGGUCUGGUCAUAAGCCCUCUAGAUGUCAUUCAUUCUUCCAUACCCUUGGACACUUUGGAAGACAGUCCAGAUAGAGUAACUGAGAUGGAAGGAGCAGGAAUUCUUCAGUCACUGCUUGGAGAUGAACCACUCAACCCUCCCUGCUCCAAUGAAAUUCCAGGAUCAUCCAGAAGGCAAGCAAAGUGGGAAGAUGCUGUCUACUACAUUCUUUCAGUGUAAUAAUUGUGUCUGUGUAGCUCAAACCAGUUUUCCAUUAAGAAUUCUUUUUAUGGAUAUGGAUAGUCGCUGUAAAGCUCCAAGAGGCAUCAUUUGCUGGAGGCUAAGGAAACAUGUCUUCAAGCCACCAGCAUGCCUUCUCCAGCAUCUUGGCACAGGUUCUAAC